CUAAAGCAAGAAAGAAGACUUUGCUGCCCCAAAGACUUGCUACUCAUUGGUAACUUGCCAUCCAUCUUGUUUUCAAAGGAAAAAUGAAUGUGCAGGGUGCUUGGAGUCAAUUUUUGGUGGUGAAUAUGAAGUCACUGUCUAUGCUAAUUUCAAUGGCCCCUUUCACUGUGAUGUGCCCUACUGUACAGAGAACAAACACAGUUACCAUGGCAGUGUAAACACGAAUACAUACCACACUCAGAGCCAUUCCCAUGUGCUGCAGAGAACAGAGAAAGUUCAUUGUCUUCAUCUGAACACAUCUGGGAAAGAAGGAUGAGAUUAUCUCACUUGAAAAAUAUUUUUAAAUAUUAUGGAAACCAAAACUUGUUCUGAAUGACUCCAUGUCCUGGCAGAUAUGAAAGACGAUCAUUUGAAGCUAAAGGAAUAAGAGAAGAUGUAUCCAGAGAAUUAUCUCAUGUUGGAGACUCAUUUCCCCUUGAGGACCAAGGGGAAUAUCCACUUAAAAAUUAAAAAACAAUUGGAACUAACAGAAUGUAUGUGGAUAGCCUGUUGCCUCUGCUCUGUGGCACAGUUCUUGCCCCUACCAUCUGGCCUGUCCCAACUUCGUAGAGGAAUAUAAACAUGAAGAAUUUCAAAGGCGUAACAGAGACUGUGGUACAUCAAAAGCCAUUACAAUUCAUUUAGGCUGCCUGGAAAUGUAAGAAUAAUGACACAGUGUAUGUGCUUAUACAGUAGAAGUCACUGUUGAGAUUUUUCAAAUCCCAUUGCAAUGAAUUGAAGCUGCAUGUCCAGAGUCUCUAAACUGCUAUGACAAUAAAAGCUGAUAUGCAUAAGACCAUCCAUGAUUUAAAGCAAGUGAUCUACAGGUCUACAGGGUAGAGUAAGUAAUGCAUAUAUGAAUAUUAAUACAUUUGGCUUUUGCUGAAGUGAGUGCUACACAUUUUAUUUUUUUUUUUGUAGUACCCUAGCUUAUAAACCCUGUUUCUACAUGCAGUACAACCGUAUCCCAGACUCAGAGUGCUUAAUGAGAAACUUGAGGGCUGAAUCUAGAGGGGUCAGAACGAACUUUCCCUGGUAUUUCUCUACAGUAGAACAGCUUAGAGAUCAGCGGUGGCUGCUUUCUCCCCAGACACAUCUGUAGGUACUUUGGUCACCAGCUGCCAGGAAGCUUGUUGAAACUGCUUUACCAACAUGGUCGAUUUUGUCCUCCUCUUUUGCAGCCUUCUUCAUCAUUCCUUUGCUGACCCAUCAGCUCCAUUCCUCGCACAACUCCCUUUCCCCCUCUGUUCUCACUCCUCUCUUCUGACCAUUCCCCUGUUUUCUCCUACUACUACUUCUGGCCUGGCGCUGCCUUUCCCUCUGCCCAGUGCUCAGGCUGUUCUCCGGUGUGCCUUGAGCCCAGCUUUCUCCCCAGGCUUCAGAUUUAUGGCCUAAUUAAAGCUCCUACUCGUGGAGCUUGUGGCAAGAUCUCCAGUUCGUUUCAUUUCCCUCCUGUAGUACAGUGGUUUUGUCCUCUCUGAUAUUUCUAAGUGUAAGCUUUUGUGCGGUUCCUAAAACAAAUGGCCCAGGAAGGUAUGAAAGGCUGUUUAGCUUUGAAGGUUUGUCUGUCUCCAUAUAAAGGAUUGCUGUCUCAUAAACAUAAUCAUUAACUGCCUCUAUGUAGAUAAAUGCAUCUAUUGAGAUUCACAGUGGGGA